UGUGAGCUUUACUUUCAAGAUCUUAAGAUCUUAAAUUUAACUAAAACUCUGCUUCCGAGUGUUGGCAUAGACUCUUUAAAGCAUGUGAUCUUGAUUUAUUCCAUAAAUUACAAAACAGGCUCGGCAGGCCUGACUCUUAUUUAUAAGUCAAACAUCAAAGUGUUUCCAGAUCCUUGAGCUGACUGGUUCUAAUAAACUCAAGGAGGAAACACUGGACCGCCUGAAGACUGUGCAGUUCACGGCCUCUCCACUAGGAGGAGGUGUUGGUGUUCGUUUGAAGGUGUUAUCAGCAGCAGGUGAUCCUUUUCAGAUAUUCUCCUUUGUGCCUCAGAGUGUUUCCACGGGGAGCCGGAGCUUCUGGCUCUGCUGUCACACCCGAGGUUUAGUUUUUAGGCUUUUCUUAUCCACAACAUGUCGGAAGUCACGUGACAGACCAGGGUUCGCGUGUUGAAUCAACAAGUGUUAAUUAAGCAGAAGAAGUCUCUUGUUAGUGUUGACAUGAACGGACAUAUGCAGUCACGUGGGUGUGUGUUCGAUUCUUUGACUCCACCUCGUCUUGUCAGGGAAGAGGAGAAGAGGAAGACCACAGAAAAGAGAUAUGGAUGUUGUGAAAGAAUCCAUGGACAUGGUUGGUGUCAGGGUGGAGUGGAGGCAGAUGACCUGCUGAGGUCACCCCUGAAGGAAACAGCAGAAAGAAGAAGAAGAAGGUGCCCCACCACGUCGACUGUCCAGUCUUCAUGGGACGGACGUUUGGUCUUUUUCCAAGAAAGAAAAAUCAGUCGUCUUGAAGCAGGAAGUGAGUAGUGUAGCUGUGAUCCUGCCGUCCUGUGGCCCCCAACACAAAUAAAAAGCUGUGAUGGGGUUUUGGUGAAAUACCCGAAGACUUUCUGCUAAAACGUUUCUUGACCAACAUCAUUGUUUUUAGGUGAGACUCCAUUAUUGUCUUCCAUUUGUUAUAACCUGUGACCUAAUCAAACAAGGGUGCCCCCUGUUGGAUUGGAAUAAUAAAUAACAAUAUAUUGUGUGUCGUCGUCCUGUGGAGUCUGAGUCCGUGCUGUCCGUGAGUCCACUGAAGGUUUAACUACAGACAGCCACACAGACAGGCUGAGAAGAGGACAGUCACUGCAGUGAGUCUUUUACCCGUUCAAGUCCAAGGUGAUCCAUUUACACCAGCACACGUGCCAGUUUCCUAGAGCUGCUGUACUCAAGCAAAUGUUUCCUCAACCUGACCACAAGGACUGAGACGCUCAGAAGGUUUUUUUCAUUUUUUUUUUUUUUUUUUUUUUUAUCUUGGCAGGAGAUUUCUCAACCAGCCAGUGCUUCACCAUCUACUGCAGAGAUAUUCUGGUCUAUUCUCCAUCUUGUCAUCGCACAUUUCUGUAUGCAUUUCUCUUUCCUUUUUAGUUUAUUUCAGUAAAUGUUCUUUAGUUAAACAGACAUGUAUUUAGAAUGCCACAGUGGUCUGUUGUUUGUUUUUUUGUCAAUAUUUCCCAGCUCCAAUGUGAAGCAGUGUACAUUUUGGGCAUUUGUUUUUCAAUUUAUUGUCAUUUUGUUAUUGUAAAAUCUGUUAAUAGCUACGUUUCUAACGUUCAGAGCUCCCUGGUUAUAUAUGUCAUGGUGUGUUUGUUGUGUUUUUUUACAUUCAUUCCUGUUGGACUUUUUCAUGUGCAUUUACUAAUACUUCAAUGUUGAAUAAGUUGAAUAUGCUCAGUAUAUGGAGUCAAUCAGGAUUAUAUCUCACUGAUAACUACAUUGAAACCUAAUCCUGGCUCUGAGGAUAAGUAAUCAUGUGACCAAUGAACUCUUGAAUCGUUUAAUCUUGAAUUUUAAAUGAAGAAGUGUGAUACUGUCUGGUUUUAAUGCUGUGAACUAAUGGUUACAUCACACUGAUUUUACCAGAGGAGAUUAGGGCUUAAUCUGAACAUGUUUUAUUUUUUAUAUGGAUGGAUGGAUGGAUGGAUAGACAGACCAAAAGACUGAUGGAUGGCAUGUAGUGUGUUUAUUUUUUUCCAUUACCAACCUUUUGGUAAAAUGUUUUUUUUGCCUUCAAAAAUGUUAACUAACUCAUUUCCAGCAGCACAUAAACACAGACUUACAGGCGCACACAGCAAAUACCAAUGGACCAGUUGUUUCCGGCCGACAGGAACAGGAAAUACGUUAGUUUAAGCUAAUUGUGGCAAAAAGUGUUACUGCACAUGUUUCACAUUUACAGACAAGCUUGACAUAUAGUACAUCCAGCCAGGAAGUCACACUGAUCCCUUAAACACAUACACCGUCACACCCAAACAGGUCAGUGCAUGAGUACACAAAUACACACACACACAUAUCCAAAUGUUUGCUCUGCAGGGUCAAGAAAUCUCAUGUUUGCUGGUGCGGGAAACCUGAAACACACCUUGUUCUGUACACAUAUUGGUUUCACUUUCCCUUUGUUCGACUUUCUUUCUGUGUCUCGUGUGUUUGCUGAUGUUUGAGUAAAUGUAUUUAUCCAGUAAAACUCCAACAUCACAGGGAGGCAGAGUCUCCAAUCAGCAACAUAUUUUUGUUUACAAAUGAGGAAAGAGACUGGUGUUUUAUGGUCACAUUGUGAGGUCAGUGGUACCCAAAGAGGGGGCGGGAACCCUUGGGGGAUGUGGAGGAGUAACGCAGGUGAUGAAUUAUGUUACUUUUAAAGAUGUUUUUGUCACAUUUGAAAAAUCAUUAAUUUAUUUUUAGAAAAAUAAAUUUUUAGGAAUUAUAAUAUAUAAUAUAUUAUAAUUGGUGAUGUUUCAGUGUUUAACAGAAUAUAAAUUGACAAGAAUUAGUGGCAUCUAAUUGUGUGACUGUAAAGUCCAAUUAGUAAAAAAGACCUGUCUGGCUCACCCUUCAUGGCAGUAGAAUUAUGGAGGCUUUUGCACACACAUAUGGCAGCCACCACAAAUCAAGC